rnacentral:rRNA from 1 species
GAUGAACGCUGGCGGCGUGCCUAAUACAUGCAAGUCGAGCGAACAGAUGAGGAGCUUGCUCCUCUGACGUUAGCGGCGGACGGGUGAGUAACACGUGGAUAACCUACCUAUAAGACUGGGAUAACUUCGGGAAACCGGAGCUAAUACCGGAUAAUAUAUUGAACCGCAUGGUUCAAUAGUGAAAGACGGUUUUGCUGUCACUUAUAGAUGGAUCCGCGCCGCAUUAGCUAGUUGGUAAGGUAACGGCUUACCAAGGCAACGAUGCGUAGCCGACCUGAGAGGGUGAUCGGCCACACUGGAACUGAGACACGGUCCAGACUCCUACGGGAGGCAGCAGUAGGGAAUCUUCCGCAAUGGGCGAAAGCCUGACGGAGCAACGCCGCGUGAGUGGUGAAGGUCUUCGGAUCGUAAAACUCUGUUAUUAGGGAAGAACAAAUGUGUAAGUAACUAUGCACGUCCUGACGGUACCUAAUCAGAAAGCCACGGCUAACUACGUG